rnacentral:rRNA from 1 species
AUGAACGCUGGCGGCGCGCCUAACCCAUGCAAGUCGAACGAUUAAAGCACCUUCGGGUGUGUAUAAAGUGGCGAACGGCUGAGUAACACGUGGGCAACCUGCCCCUCUCAUUGGGAUAGCCACGGGAAACCGUGGAUAAUACCGAAUACUUCGGGACUUCCGCAUGGAAGACUCGAGAAAGCUCCGGCGGAGAGGGAUGGGCCCGCGGCCUGUUAGCUUGUUGGUGGGGUAAUGGCCUACCAAGGCAAUGAUGUGUAGCUGGGUUGAGAGACCGACCAGCCAGAUUGGGACUGAGACACGGCCCAGACUCCUACGGGAGGCAGCAGUGGGGAAUCUUGCACAAUGGGCGAAAGCCUGAUGCAGCGACGCCGCGUGCGGGAUGAAGGCCUUCGGGUUGUAAACCGCUUUCAGCAGGGACGAGGCGAAAGUGACGGUACCUGCAGAAGAAGCCCCGGCUAACUACGUG